UACGUAGGGGGCAAGCGUUGUCCGGAAUCAUUGGGCGUAAAGGGCGCGUAGGCGGUUCGUACAGUCAGACGUGAAAUUCCUGGGCUCAACCUGGGGGCUGCGUUUGAUACGUGCGGACUUGAGUGCGGAAGAGGGUCGUGGAAUUCCCAGUGUAGAGGUGAAAUUCGUAGAUAUUGGGAGGAACACCGGUGGCGAAGGCGGCCACCUGGGCCGGAACUGACGCUGAGGCGCGAAAGCGUGGGGAGCAAACGGG
rnacentral:rRNA from 1 species